rnacentral:rRNA from 1 species
UGGUGGAGUGAUUUGUCUGCUUAAUUGCGAUAACGAACGAGACCUUAACCUGCUAAAUAGCUAGGCUAGCUUUGGCUGGUCGCUGGCUUCUUAGAGGGACUAUCGGCUCAAGCCGAUGGAAGUUUGAGGCAAUAACA